rnacentral:rRNA from 1 species
CCCUUAGAUGUUCUGGGCCGCACGCGCGCUACACUGACGAAUGCAACGAGCUUAUAACCUUGGCCGAAAGGUCUGGGUAAUCUCCAAAUUUCGUCGUGAUGGGGAUAGAUUCUUGCAAUUAUUAAUCUUCAACGAGGAAUUCCUAGUAAACGCAAGUCAUCAGCUUGCAUUGAUUACGUCCCUGCCCUUUGUACACACCGCCCGUCGCACCUACCGAUUGAAUGGUCCGGUGAAAUCCUCGGAUCGAGCCGUGGGGCAACUCCGGUUCGAGAAGUUGAUUAAACCUUACCAUUUAGAGGAAGGUGAAGUCGUAACA